UAAAUUGAAAAGAUAACACUUUUAAUGUUUAUUCUCAACCAAAAAAACUGUUCCAUGUCAUAUUAUUUAAGUAAAUUGACUGCACUAUUUCUAUUCUCUUUUAUCAUUGCUACACUAUUUCUAUUCUCUUUACCAGAUUUACUUAUCGCAAAUGAAGUCUUGGAGUUAGUAUCCUCUCCAUUAACGGAGAAGUAAGUGCUUCAAAAAGUAAAGAUAAAUGUAACCUUAAAUAAUACAUAUAACAUUUUGAUUACAAUGAAAUCACAAUUUUAUCAUUAAAAACAAGUGAAAAAUAUGCAUUUAUCUCUCUAGUGAGGAUUUUACUCGCCCCACAUAAGGUAUCAAUCUUCUCAUAGCUCAUCCUUCAAAACAUUUUGUCCUUCAGUUUUCUUAACAUCACGAGGUGCACAAACCCUUGCAUCCUUAUAAAUUCUUCCUGGUUUACAAAAGUAGCCAUAGUUUGGUGCACAAUGACUAUCUUGUGAGCAUAUACACAACCCUUCCAAUGCACACCCAUCAUUCAAUAUUGUCACCCCUUCUUUUAAUCCAAGAACUUGGUCUGUCCACUCACUAGAGAAAAGUCCUAAUGAAUCAUACUCCUCUUUAACCUUCAAAAAUUUCUCUGCAUUAGGAUACUUCUGUAUUGCUCCUACAAACCCCAAGUUCCUGUUUUUACCCCAAUGGGGUAACCCUCUAUAUUUGAACAACCCAAUUUGUUCUAUCUCUUCAACAAUGUCUUCAAAAAGCCUAGGACGUAAUGGGUCCUUGCUCCUGUAGUAUGUAAAGAAAAAAUCCACAGCAUCUUCUGUUUUCCCUAGGUAUGCACUAGAGGCUGUAACAUAGCGCAUAAGUAUUCCAUUGUUGAGUUCUAAACCACACAGUGAGUAUGGCUCCAAUUCAACAAGCUUUUGCACAUCUUCAAUGAAGUUUUUAACCAUUGACAGUGGAAUGCUAAAAGAUGUUUGGUGAUAGAAUUGGCCCUCCCAUGGACAAAUUGUGAUCAUUCCAUCAUUUAAACUAUCCAAGCAUGACCCUGAUGAUUGCAUGCGGUUGUUGAAUCCAAUGAUAGGGUACCCAAGAAAAAGUCCUGUUGAUUAUUUACCAAAAAAGAAUAUAGUAAUAUUUGUCUUAUUCCAUAGAAAAAACUCAAAAUUUACCUUUUGGUUUCAAGAAUGAUAAAUUUUAUCUUAACAUCAGUACAUCUGUACAUUAGGCAGUAGGCGUGAUAAUGGGUUGCUUAACCGAAAAUCGGGGCGCGACAAUGGAUGACUGGAUCGACAUGUAAUUUGGAUUUUUUCUGGAGCUUUACUUGUUUACUACUGAUGUGUCCUAGUUAAGGAAUUAAGAAAUACACCUUCUUCUAUGAUAUAGUAAAAUUUUGAGAAGUCAUGACAGAUAACAGAACAUGUUUUUAGAAAAGUUGUAAAAACAAAGCUUGUGUUAUUAGAGACAUACAAUGCACGAGGAAAGUAAAACAACAAAAAAAUUACCAUUGUUAGUCAAUCCAUAACCGGAGCUUGCCAGUGUUGAAGUUAACAACUUUGCACCAUUGCACUUUCCAUUAGCGUCCCCUGUUGCUUCUUGAACCUCCUCUGUCAUAAGAAAAUGGAGAAAGAUAACUUCAUAACUAUGUCAUUUGUAACAUUAUAACAAAAAAAAUUAUUUAUAUAUGCAAUGGAAACUAACCUUUAGCUCUGGUAAGUGCUAAUUCUGCUGAGAGUAUGGGACGAAAUGCGAUAAAAUCAUAUAACCCAUCUCCAUGUGAAUUUAUAGGGACACGAUCAUCAAUUCUAUAUGCAACCUUGUGUUGACUUGGGUACCAUGUUACAUCACCAAACUCAUGUUUUCUUCCAAAACUAAUAAUCUCAUCUCCCAAAUCAGUGUCAUCUUUCAUUAAGUAUGUUAGAGACCUCUUGAACAUAGAUUCUAAUUGCAGGGUAACCUACACAUGUGAAAAAGCAAAUAUACAACAUUGGGAUAUAACAAGAGUAAAAAAGAAGAUAAAUGACAAGGGACAAAGGUAUAUAUACCUGAGAAAUAACUCCAAGAACCCCUAAAGAGACUUUGGCUGCAUUAAGAUGAUCUUGAUCAGAUUCAUUAAGGCUUCUAACCUUAACAUACCCAUCUUGAGAAUUUGAAGGACUAACAAUUCGAAGCUCCACUACAUAUUCAUGAACUGCACUUCCCUUACCCCACAAUGAGCUUCCAUGAGCACCUGUUGCUAUAAGGCCACCAAUGGUUAUACCCCACCAAUAUGGUGUAUAUGGUAAGGCCAAUCCAACUUUAGCAGCCUCACUAAUAAUCUCCCUUAGUGUUACACCACUCUCCACCACCAUUGUCUUUGCUUCCUUAUCAAUUUUUAGUAUCUUGUUGAGAUUGUUAGUGCUUAUCAACAACCCUUUUUGGCCAUCAGGACACACCAACUUAGGGAUGCUAUGUGAGAAGCGUGUAGCUACUUUCAUUUUUAUCUUGUUUUUUGUAGCUGAUGCAACUAUUGAUAUGAGUUCUUCCUCUGUGGUUGGAUACAUAGCCUUACCAACUUUGCAAGUGCUUCUGUCAGGGAAGAUGCCACUGGCGUUUGUGAUGGUGCAGUUUGUGUUCUUUGAAAAACAUUUAAUUGGAUCCUCUGGAGGUGCUGAAAUCACUACUCUAUUGAUAAAGAAGAAGAUAAGAGUGAAUUUGAGCACUUGUAAUAAAUUUCUCAUCCUUUGGGAGCAUAAUAUUGUCAUUGAAGUGAGAGAGAUAUGCAGAAGUUAGCAAUGAUUAUAUGAAGAUUGAAGAGUAUGAAAGUAUGCUCAUAUACGUUUUUGGCUAAGAUCAAGACUCAGUCAAAGACCCAAUCUGCUCAAUCUUCAAUGUUGAAGAACUCUGCCGAAUGGGACAAACAGAAAGUCUUCCCUUUCUUUGUAAAAAGAAUAUUUAUAUUUGUUGUCCACAUUUAUUAUAUAAAAACAAAAACAAUUACUGUUUGUUUUUUAACUAAUCAAUUGAUGGGUAGUUGAAAUUUUCAAUGCUGGAGAUCCAAUCAAAGACUAAUAGCAGGAUCAAGGAUAAGUGAGUAAUGAUGGUAUUUUCACUUUUGAAAUGGGUAUCUUGUGUGGGAAUUAGAAUCAUUGAUCAGUCUUACAUGUUUAUAGGGUCACUCAUAACCGGUCCACUACAUUGGUGAACAUAAGAUUUUUUCUUUAUACUACUAAAUAACUUUUUUUAGUAAGGAAGUGAUUAUUUUUGAGGUAUGCACUUAUUUCUCUCAACAAGUGUCACUAACAGAAAUCAAUCAUUAAUAUUUUGGUCAUCAUGACGAUCUAGCGAGUCUUUAGACCAACUGAUUAUUGGUAGGUUUAACAUAUGAUUGUAACCCAAAAUAAGAGUACUGACACCCUGAGUUUUAGUGAAAUUACACAAACCAUCCCUCACUUUUCUAAACUUACAUACACCUCUCCUAGUCUUGUACUUUCGUUACACUGACCACCCUGUAUAAUAAAUAAAUGUAAUCUUUUAAACAAAAAAUGUGAUAAAUGCAAUUAAGUUAAACAAAACACGAUAUAUUGUGUAGACAAGUCUAAAUAAUAUACAAAUCAAUGUAUCUUUAUUAUUUUUUUGUUACAAAAUGCAUCAACAAUUCUACAGAAAUAUUGUUUAAAUCAUUUUUAUAAUGUAGUGUAACGAACCAAACAUAAUAAAGAUACAUUAAUUUGUAUAUUAUUUAGACUUGUCUACACAAUAUAUCGUGUUUUGUUUAACUUAAUUGCAUUUAUCGCAUUUUUUUUAAAUUACACUUAUUUAUUAUACAAGAGUGAUCAGUGUAAUGAAAGUACAAAACUAGGGGAGGUUUGUGUAAGUUUAGAAAAGUGAUGGGUGGUUUGUGUAAUUUCACUAAAACUCAAGGGAUGUCAAUGUAAUUUACUCCCCAAAAUAAUUAGCAUAAAAUUGUAUAACGCUAUUCAAAACAAAUUCUCAAAAUUUCACCAUAAAAAAUUAUGUAUUGCAGUAUUAAUGCAAACAUUGAAGGGAGCUGUCUGCUGCCUUUAUAGGUUAAGCACCCACUUUCUCUUAUAAACCAGCCCAUGUGGGUAUAUUACCCAAGAACCUAACAUAAAACAUUUUUAAUCUGAAAGGGACACCACUUCAUUUAAGCAGAAGAGCAAAUGUAGAAUCUUGUUGCAUUUGCCAUGGAUCUCAUUUGUAGUUGCAGGAUGAUUAUACUAGUAGGAACUUCAUCAAAUCUUCAAAUUCUAUUCUUCCUUAAUCUCACACUAUUUCCUUAAAUACACUACAUGUAUUUAUUGGAGACUCAGAAAUCAUAAUCAGGUUAGAAUGUCAGCUUCUUGGAGAUUGACUCAUAUUUUUCAAAUGUUAAAAGUUGGAUUUCAGUACUAGUUUUGUUUAUAUGAAACAGAAACAUAUAGCAUUUCAUUUAAUUUCAAUCAAAUUUUACCUCAAAAAAGAAAUUCAGAUUCUUUUUUUGAUUUAUUUCAGUUUGUAAAGAAACAUAUAGAUCCUAUAACAAAUUCAAUACAAAGAAGCCAAACACAAGGUAUCAUCAAUCUUCUCAAAGCUCGUCCUUCACAACAUUUUGUCCUUCAGUUUUCUUAACAUCAUGAAAUGCACAAACCCUGGCAUCCUUAAAUAUUCUUCCUGGUUUACAAAAGUAUCCAUAUUUUGGUGCACAGUGACUAUCUUGUGAGCAAAUACACAACCCUUCCAAUGCACAACCAUCCUUCAAAAUUGUCACCCCUUCUUUUAAUCCAAGAACUUGAUCUGUCCACUCACUAGAGAAAAGCCCUACUGAAUCAUACUCCGCUUUAACCUUCAGAAACUUUUCUGCAUUAGGAUACUUCUUUAUUACUCCUACAAACCCCAAGUUCCUAUUUUUACCCCAAUGGGGUAACCCUUUAUAUUUGAACAACCCAAUUUGUUCUAUCUCUUCAAGAAUAUCUUCAAAAAGCCUAGGUCGUAAAGGGUCUUUACUGCGGUAAUAUGUGAUGUCAAAAUCCACAGCAUCUUCAGUUUUCCCUAGGUAUGCACUAGAGGCUGUAACAUAGCGCAUAAGUAUUCCAUUGUUGAGUUCUAAACCACACAGUGAGUUUGGCUCCAACUGAACAA
rnacentral:lncRNA from 1 species